CAUCACAGAGAAAAAAGUUACUAAACCUCUUUUCAACACCAUCGAGUAAAGCCGCAGCCAAAGGUUCACAGACUAUUAGGUUCCCAGAAUUUGUAAGGUCAUCAAUUUUUCUCUUGAUCAUGAUAAUUGAAAGUAACAUAUGCGAUAUGCCCAGCUCUAACUUGAUUACCUGUUUCCCCUUGGAAACUUUUUAAAGCAGUUGCAAUUGGCUUCAUAAGCAUAACAUAUUGUUUCAUAAACAAUAUUUCCAGUGAAUUAAAAUCUGCAAUGCCAUUAUAGUCACACAGAAAAACAAUACAGACUUCGUUAACAGACGAAGUAUCGCUAUCGAGUAUCGAUCGAUACCGAAACGAUACCGUACCGAUACCUAUUUUUUAAAAGUAGCGCCGAUACGGUCCCGAUACCAGGUAUCGCUAUCGCCGAUAAUAUCGGUAUCGAAGCCGAUAUUACGUCAUGAGUUGUCCAGUAUGUUCAAAAGUGCCCCAAAUCGAGUUGGUGUUAGUGCACUCCUGUAAAACAAGCAUCGCUGUGUUUGCUUUGAUGCAAACAUUACUGUUGAAUGGGCUGAUGGUGAAAUCAGACGUGUACUUGAAAGCUUGACCUUUGUUAGUUACUUUGCUGCAGUUUCCUACGGAUACUUGUGAUUGCACUAGGGGAUCGUUGCUUGUGGUUAAUGUUUUCAGUUUAUCUUGACAUUUUAUCCAAUCUGCGUCACAAUCUUCCAUGGUUAGUUGUUUGUUAAGCCCAUGAUGUGUGACACAUUUUCCGUUUGGAUAUUGUCCAUUUUUCAACAACCCCCAGGCGAUCAUGUCCCAGAUGAUAUUUCCACUGCCAUGAUUUGCUUUCAGGAAACAUCCAAAUAUGGGUGAGUUGAUUGUGGUUGUAACUGCUCUUCGUUGCUCUAAUCGGACUUCUUGAAUAUCCUGCAAUGGUACGUCGGGGAAAUUUUCUAUAACAUCCGGGUUAGUAUUUAUUGUUUGAAAAAACCACUGCUGGUUUUUUCUCGUAUCUCCCUCCAUAGCAGACUGUUCCAAUUUUAAGGAUUCGUCGAUUCCUACGGUUGCAGCAAAUACGUGGUCGUUUUUGUUUCCGUGAUGCAAAUAUUAGUGUUUUGUACACGUAUUGUUGGAUCGACAAUGUACUCAAAUUUCGCUCCUGGUGGGAGAUUGUCGUCCUUUGAAAGUUGACUGUACGUUAUUAAACGAUUUUUGCUUCCAGACUCUUCCCCAGCCGUAUAAAAUGCUGUAGAGGCAAAUCCCCAGUUUUUCUUCUUCGAUUUGGGUGUUGAAAAGAAAGUGGACCUCUUGAAGAACAGAAUGUUGUGACCGGGACUUAUACAGUUCUCUGUAGUCUUCGCAUACUGGUGUAGCAGGAAAACGCAAGGUAUGUCAGUGGUAUUCCAAUUACUUUAUAUCCGACUGCUGUAACAUCUUUAUCAGGCUUAUUGAAGAAGGAUAUCUCUAGCUUUCGAUUGUUGUCAUAGAGGCGACUGGAGUUGUUGUUUUCUGGUGAACGAGGAAUCUCGAGGUAAUCAUUUCUUUUUAGUAAAGUUUGGGAAUACGAAUGUCUCGUUGGGACCUCCAAAUGUAAAGAUUUCUAGUGUAACGAAGGCCUACAAAUUUAUUUAAUCAACAUGCCCACAUUUUACUGUCUUAUAUUUACUCCCCUUUUCAUUUAUGAUAUCCGCCUUUUUCCUUAUGUAAACGUUUACAAUUCGUACUGUAUUUCAUGCUCAUUUCCUUGAAAUGUUGUUUGUCAAUUCGGAGAUGAAGUCAUCGACGCUUUGGUCUGACCUCAAUGAACACCUGAAACUGACGUAUGUGCGAUGCGCAUAUUGCAAAAUAAAUAAGCAACCGGUUGAUUGGUUGCAUACACGUCACAAUCAAUAUCUUAACAAAACCUUUUUUGAUUGGUUACCCGUGCGCGACAACAACAGUUGCAACAUGCCAUGAGCGUCUGUGACCACUCCUGAAAUGCGAUGUUUCGUGGUGAACCCACAUUUCUGACAAACAGAGUCGAUUCGCAACAUCCAAGCAGUUCAUACGUCAAUUGCUGAGUGUUUAAACCGUGAGUUUGUCCGUACAAUUUUUCUUUUCUCUUGUUCUCAAACUUUGUUAUUUUGUAAGCACUUUUCGUGUUUUCGCCUUCUUGAACUGUCUGUGCACUCGUGCCUUGCUCUCGCUUACACGAGCCGCAUCUUAUCGUUUUUACCACCGUGCGCUCCCGUAACGCUCGCGCUACAUCGGUAAGCUUCUAACUUCCCUUAUGUUUCUGUCAUUAUGAUUUAGCUCGUUAUCCCAUUUCUUGUCCUAUUGUAUGUCCCUUCCCAUGUAAUCCUUAUGGCCUUAGUCAAGUAAAUACACACCAAUCAUUGUGGGUAAUUCGCCACCGAGUUCAGUCUAUUUCCAAAUCUCAGAUACACAUUUCAAUCUUUGUAAUACUCUUCCCCACACAAGGAUGUAUUACAUAAUGGUGGCAGCGCUUUUUGAACUCAACCACAAUGAAUAAUGAUGUUAUUACUGACGGGUCUAGAAUUCCACGAACUCCUAUACACCCCAGUGUGCCCCGAAUUAAUGUUCCCCUGUCCAGUGAGCUAACUAUAGCUAGAUUGCUUAAUUUCGAUAAGUUGCCUGUUUAACCCCAAAUUGCACCUCAUACAUGUCCAGCUUGUACCACUCCCAAACCAAUUUCUGAACCGGGAAAUAAACGAGUCGUUGCGAGGGAGUCAUCAGGCAGUUCAGUGGUUUCUCGGGCCGCGUUACCAGUAAUCAUGGCCCAACGACCACCUGCCCCCCGACUGAAGUACCGGGCUCCUCCGAUCUUCUACGGGAGGAAGGAUGAGGAUGCAGCGGAUUGGCUAGAGCGUUAUGAGAGUACGGCUCUCUAUAACCGCUGGAGACCAGAUGAGAUGGCCGAGAAUUUUGGGAUCCAUCUGAAUGGGGCGGCUAGGAAAUGUUUUCUCUGCUCUGGAGCCCCGGCUGUGUGACGGGAUACACCGGCAGUGGCCGCAGCGCCGGGGGGUGGUGGCUGUGCAUGGGACGGAAGGACUACGAACGAGAUUUCUUAGAGCCUUCCAGCCGCAACAUUAUGGUCGCUAUCAAGAGACAAAGUUACGACAGUGGAAGAAAGGGAUAGACGAAUCAGGAGUGGAAUACUUCUACGACGUCGU
rnacentral:lncRNA from 1 species